CAGUCGCCACGGUAAUACGGAGGAUCCGAGCGUUAUCCGGAAUUAUUGGGUUUAAAGGGUGCGUAGGCGGAUAGAUAAGUCAGUGGUGAAAGACGGUGGCUCAACCAUCGCAGUGCCGUUGAUACUGUUUAUCUUGAAUAUGGAUGAGGUAGGCGGAAUGUGGCAAGUAGCGGUGAAAUGCAUAGAUAUGCCACAGAACACCGAUUGCGAAGGCAGCUUACCAAGGCAAAAUUGACGCUGAGGCACGAAAGCGUGGGGAUCGAACAGGAUUAGAUACCCGCGUAGUCCCUGUCUCUUAUAA
rnacentral:rRNA from 1 species